ensembl:rRNA 5S_rRNA 5S ribosomal RNA
GUCUGUGGCCAUACCACCCUGGACACGCCCGGUCUUGUCUGGUCGCGGAAGCGAAGCAGGGGCGGGGCUGGUUAACACUCGGAUGGGACAAAGAGGAGUCGGUGCCCGAGUCA